GUCACUUAUUCUUUUGCUUGAUAUAUAGAAAACAGGCAGUGUUUGGCUAUGGUAACAUUUUUUAUUGACGGAAUUUUGGCUAUGGUAGCAUAUCUUCUUGUUUUAGCCAAACUGAUUUAAAACCUUUAAAAAAAUUGAAGAGAUUUUGAAUUAAUAAAAUAAAAAAUACAAAGUAUUGUAAAAAGAAACUAUGAAAACAGACUGACUGCAGUGGUUUUGGUCUGUACAUGCGUCAAUCCUGCUUUUUGAUUAUCAUGCAUCUGUCCUUUUUUUAUAUAAUAUAUCAAUAAUAUGCAUCGGUUCUUUAAAACAAGAAGAUAGAGUUCAUAAAAUUGGGGAAAUCUGGACCGCACACGCGUCCGAGUUUGGGUGCAGAGUGCAAAUGUAAAAUGUCAGAGGGUGCAAAGUAGAAAUAACAGAGGGUAUUAGGUGCAAUUGUUCAAAUUUCAGGGUGUGCAGGUGCACCCCCUGGUUGCACACUGGAUCCGCCCC
rnacentral:lncRNA from 1 species